GUCGUUGCAAAGUGCUCGUCUCGGCUCCUCUUCUAUAUCACCGUUGCAACGUAUUCGAAAUAGCGCACAGAUCAAGUACUCAUCCUUAAGUUCCUAAUAAACUCCUGAAGAUGCCUUCCACACAGGACAUGACCAAGUAAGAUAACAGAAAGAAAGUGGUCAAAAAUAAUGAUCAUUACAAUUCUUAUUAUAAAUUAAAAUAGUAAUAAAAAAAUGAAUGUCUUCAGAUCAUUCUUAAAAUAGACCGAGCAGGCCCCUGUCAUUUACAAGAGCUUUCAUACAAUCAAAUGAAAAUGGCAAUUUGUGAAGACCUUCAAAAGAUUUUAUUUUGAUAUACAACAGAUUUUCAGAUCCCUGUAUGUGAGAUUCUAUUCAUUAAAGGAAGAAAAAAAGAUAACGUGCGCUCGGCAUAUAAGACUUGACAGCUGCACAGGGCUGCCUCAUUCUACUUUUCAACAUUGUAAUUUCAGAUAAUUUCCCCCGCGUUCACUCUUCUUGCAAUUUGUAAAUGAAUAACAGAAUAAUUUUGUCUUUUGUUUCGUCUUUGCUACCUCAAAUCCAAAUAAAGAUGCCUUUUAGUAUUAAAAGUGGUAGAAAAUUACAGGUAAUUAUCUUUGACGGUAAAAACGCUGUAAUCAGUGGGCCACAUCAAAAAUUACUCUAAUUACGCCUGCAUUUAUGAGAAUGGGGGAGAAAAAAAGCUUCUCGUGGAUAAAAACCAUAAAUUGUCCCAAAUAUCUCGUCUAUAUUGAACGGGACUGCAGCUGGAUGCUUUGUUCAGAAUCGAUCCCGUGGCGUUUGGCAUCAAGGGUUUUAUAGUGAAUGCGGGAGAAAGAGGGAGAGAAAUUUUGUCAAUACUCCAAUAAUUGAACUAGAAAAUGGCAAGAUUGACUGGACGAAAGGCAACCGAUUUCAACGGGGAAAAUAUUAACAGACAGAUUAUGGGCAGCGCCUUCCGAUUGGUCAUUCAACCCAACGUCAUCAGUACUGUGCUUCUCAGAGACUUCACGGUGAGUUAACCCACCUUACCAGCUCCCACCGUAGCCGUAACCACACUUCAGGGGAAUUUAAUGGCAGGAGAUCUGUCUUAUAUCCACUAUAGAGACAAUCUUCGAUGUGCAGCAUCACUCCGCAUUACAUAGGUGUAUUUUACGUUUCCACGAUAAAUUUCACGGCAUUUUUAAGUCCAGAUGAAACUUAAAUUCUAAAAGUGAUUAAUUUAAACAUGUAUGUCUAGCAUAUCUAGUACGUGUAGUGUAUUU